rnacentral:rRNA from 1 species
GGUAAGACGUAGGAUGCAAGCGUUAUCCGGAAUUAUUGGGCAUAAAGAGUUCGUAGGCGCUUUGUUAAGUUGGAUGUUAAAUUUUUGAGCUCAACGUAGAAAAAGUAUCCAAAACUGGCAAACUGGAGACUGGUAGAGGUAAGUGGAAUUCUGCAUGUAGGGGUAAUAUCCGUAGAUAUGCAGAGGAACACCAAAAGCGAAGGCAGCUUACUGGACCAGUUCUGACGCUCAAGAACGAAAGCGUGGGUAGCGAACGGGAUUAGAUACCCCGGUAGUCCACGCCCUAAACGAUGAACACUAGGUAUUGGAGGUCUCGACCCCUUCAGUGCCGACGCAAAUGCAAUAAGUGUUCCGCCUGGGUAGUACGAGCGCAAGCUUAAAACUCAAAGGAAUAGACGGGGACCCACACAAGCGGUGGAGCAUCUGGUUUAAUUCGACAAUAAGCGAGGAACCUUACCAAGGCUUGACAUCCCGAGAAGAUCGCCGAAAGGUGAUUGUGCCGUUAGGAACUCGGUGACAGGUGCUGCAUGGUUGUCGUCAGCUCGUGCCUUGAGGUGUUCGGUUAAGUCCGUGAACGAGCGCAACCCUUGUCUCAAGUUGCAUAUUUCUUGAGAGACUGCCGGUUUCAAAUCGGAGGAAGGUAAGGAUGACGUCAAAUCAGCAUGGCCCUUAUGUCUUGGGCGACACAGGUGCUACAAUGGCCGGUACAAUGGGCAGCGAAGGAGCAAUCUGGAGCAAAUCCUCAAAACCGGUCCAAGUUCGAAUUGAAGGCUGCAACUCGCCUUCAUGAAGUUGGAAUCGCUAGUAACCGCAUAUCAGCCAUGGUGCGGUGAAUCCGUUCACUGGGUCUUGUACUCACCGCCCGUCAAGUCAUGAAAGAUGGGGGUGCCCGAAGUACCCUUAGCUAAUUUAGCCGGGGUCCUAANGGCAAAACCAUUGAUUGGGACUAAGUCG